UGGCGGCGUGCCUAACACAUGCAAGUCGAACGGGGUAAGUGAAAUUUCGGAUGGAGCUUAACUUAGUGGCGGACGGGUGAGUAACGCGUGGAUAACCUGCCUCACACUGGGGGAUAGCAGCUGGAAACGGCUGGUAAUACCGCAUAAGACCACAGCACCGCAUGGUGCAGGGGUAAAAGAUUUAUCGGUGUGAGAUGGAUCCGCGUCUGAUUAGCCAGUUGGCGGGGUAACGGCCCACCAAAGCGACGAUCAGUAGCCGGCCUGAGAGGGUGAACGGCCACAUUGGGACUGAGACACGGCCCAAACUCCUACGGGAGGCAGCAGUGGGGAAUAUUGCACAAUGGGCGCAAGCCUGAUGCAGCAACGCCCGCGUGAGUGAAGAAGUAUUUCGGUAUGUAAAGCUCUAUCGGCAGGGAAGAAAGGCCCUUAACAGGGAGAUGACGGUACCUGACUAAGAAGCCCCGGCUAACUACGUGCCAGCCGCCGC
rnacentral:rRNA from 1 species